rnacentral:rRNA from 1 species
CCUACGGGUGGCAGCAGUGGGGAAUAUUGGGCAAUGGGCGAAAGCCUGACCCAGCAACGCCGCGUGAAGGAAGAAGGCUUUCGGGUUGUAAACUUCUUUUGACAGGGAAGAGCAGAAGACUGUACCUCUUGAAUAAGCCAUGGCUAACUACGUGCCAGCAGCCGCGGGCAUACGUAGGUGGGAAGUGUUGUCCGGAUUUACUGGGUGUAACGGGCGUGCAGCCGGGAAGACAAGUCAGAUGUGAAAUCCCGCGGCUCAACCGCGGAACUGCAUUUGAAACUGUUGUUCUUGAGUACCGGAGAGGUCGUCGGAAUUCGUUGUGUAGCGGUGAAAUGCGUAGAUAUAAGGAAGAACACCGGUGGCGAAGGCGGAUGACUGGACGGCAACUGACGGUGAGGCGCGAAAGCGUGGGGAGCAAACAGGAUUAGAUACCCCGGUAGUC